rnacentral:rRNA from 1 species
AGAAUCAACGCUGGCGGCGUGCCUAACACAUGCAAGUCGCACGAGAAAGGGACUUCGGUCCUGAGUACAGUGGCGCACGGGUGAGUAACACGUGAAUCAUCUACCUUCGAGUGGGGAAUAACUGAGAGAAAUCUUAGCUAAUACCGCAUAAUACCCACGGGUCAAAGCAGCAAUGCGCUUGAAGAGGAGUUCGCGGCAGAUUAGUUAGUUGGCGGGGUAAUGGCCCACCAAGACGAUGAUCUGUAUCCGGCCUGAGAGGGCGCACGGACACACUGGAACUGAAACACGGUCCAGACUCCUACGGGAGGCAGCAGUGGGGAAUUUUGCGCAAUGGGGGAAACCCUGACGCAGCAACGCCGCGUGGAGGAUGAAAUCCCUUGGGAUGUAAACUCCUUUCGAUAGGGAAGAUAAUGACGGUACCUAUAGAAGAAGCCCGGCUAACUUCGUGCCAGCAGCCGC